rnacentral:rRNA from 1 species
UACGUAGGGUGCGAGCGUUGUCCGGAUUUAUUGGGCGUAAAGAGCUCGUAGGCGGUUUGUCGCGUCGGCCGUGAAAUCUCCACGCUUAACGUGGAGCGUGCGGUCGAUACGGGCAGACUUGAGUUCGGUAGGGGAGACUGGAAUUCCUGGUGUAGCGGUGAAAUGCGCAGAUAUCAGGAGGAACACCGGUGGCGAAGGCGGGUCUCUGGGCCGAUACUGACGCUGAGGAGCGAAAGCGUGGGGAGCGGACAGG